UACAAAGGAAGUUGACGGGGCCGCACAAGCGGAGGAACAUGUGGUUAAUUCGAUGAUACGCGAGGAACCUUACCUGGGCUUAAAUGUAGAGUGCAUUUUUAGAGAUAGAAAUUCCCUUCGGGGCUUUCUGCAAGGUGCUGCAUGGUUGUCGUCAGCUCGUGCCGUGAGGUGUCGGGUUAAGUCCCAUAACGAGCGCAACCCUUAUCGUUAGUUGCCAUCUGGUAAUGCAGGGGACUCUAGCGAAACUGCCACCGUAAGGUGAGAGGAAGGUGGGAUGACGUCAAAUCAGCACGGCCCUUAUGUCCAGGGCUACACACGUGUUACAAUGGUCGGUACAGAGGGCAGCUACCUGGUGACAGGAUGCUAAUCUCGAAAACCGGUCUCAGUUCGGAUCGAAGUCUGCAACUCGACUUCGUGAAGCUGGAUUCGCUAGUAAUCGCGCAUCAGCUAUGGCGCGGUGAAUACGUUCCCGGGCCUU
rnacentral:rRNA from 1 species